rnacentral:lncRNA from 10 species
GCCGCGGCCGGGCUGGGGCUUCAGCGGGAGGCAGCAGAGGGGAAGUGGUCAGCGUGGCGAAUGACGGAAGAAACUCGCAUUGUCUACUGGAUCAAGGACAGACAGCUCACCAACCGUGACAGCACCAUACUGGAACUUCAAAAAGUUCUGAAAACAUGUUGGUUCGAGCAAAGUGAUAUGAAAAUGCAUUGCAAAUGUGUUUACAAAUAAAGCUCCUUUCCCAUCAGGGAGGAUUCCUAGCGCUGUCAGCAAAAAAAUGAAGAAUGCUCCAAGAUAGGCCUCGAGAGCUAUUGUGAAACAGCUGCUGAUGGAAUGAAAUCUGCUUGCUGUGCCUGAUACCAGGCUGGGAGUGUCAUAAGAUCCUUUUCACAACUUGCUCCCACACUCAGUCUUGUCAGUGCAAAACAGGCAUGUCCAAGGGGUCACCAGAUUAGUACAGCACAAGACUCCACUGGGAAAGACCUUGGUGGAUUCAGCAAAUGAAUGACUCCCUGGGAGUCAGACUCUCAGCCACACCCAAGACAUGUCCUCCUCUUUUCUUAUACACCUUCUUUAUCCAUGAGCACACCCAAACCCAACAUCCUUGGUCCUGACCAUGGGGGACUUUAGCUGCUGUGUAAAGCUCCUGAAACUCAAGGGUAGAAGAGAUAUGUUUUAAGAAUACACAGGGUUUGCCUCAACCUUGACCAAAAGCAGGUCUGCCUGUUGGGAGGGCCCAUCAGAGACAGCAACCCAUCCUUGCCCCCAGUUUUCCACCCCUGUAAAGGCUUCCCAGACCUCUCUCUACCUCUAUCAUCCUGUCUCCAGGCCACUGUCCCCUGGCAAAGACACUGCUAUGGUUUGGAUGAUGGUGACCCCUCCAAAAUUUGUGUUGAAAUAUAAUCCCCAAUUGGCCGGGUGUGGUGGCUCAUGCCUGUAAUCCCAGCACUUUGGGAGGCUGAGGCGGGCGGAUCACGAGGUCAGGAGAUCGAGACCAUCCUGGCUAACUCGGUGAAACUGCUCAGAGCAUGAAAAUUUUCUGCUGUCUUUGGAACUUUGUCUACAAACAGUUAGAAGAUGCAGCCCAAGGGCUCACCAUGGGUGGCGAUGUUGAAGAACAUGGUGAAAGACCUUACUGCUGAUAGCACCAUCUUCAAAUUUGUGGAAGCUUAUGUGAGUUGGAUAGGAAAAUUUCCUACAUAUAAUGUUGGCUCUUCCAUUUGUUUCUAAUUUAGUAUUUCUCAAUUGAUAUUUUUUUUGUAUCUGAUAAUGAAACAAACAAAUGUGAAGAGAAGACGCUUAGAUGAUGUUGGCCCUGAAUUGGAAAAGGCUGUCUGGGAGCUCGGCUGCCCACCCAGCAUUCAGUGUCUGCUACCUCCUGUCUGUUAUGCUUGUGUCUGGUUUUUUCAAGUUUUAAUUUUUUUUUUAAUUCUUAGUUUUUGUGGGUACAUAGUAGGUGUAUAUAUUUAUGGGUUACAUGAGAUGUUUUGAUACAGGCAUGCAAUAUGUAAUAAUCACCUCAUGGAGAAUGGGGUACCCAUCCACAAAAAUAGUAUUUGUUAUUAUGAAGGGCCACUAACAUUAAUACUCUGAGCUCCAUGGCUCUAAGCCCCUAAUUGCUCAGUUUCAGUAAAUUUGAUGUUCUAUAGACCCAUGCUUCUCAAACUGAAAUGUGUAAACAUAUCACCUGGGGUAUGUGGUUAAAAUGCAGGCUCUUAUCCAAUAGGUCCCGAGUGGGGCCUAAGCUGCAUGUCUAACAGGCUUUCACGUGGUGCUGAUACUGCUUGUCUUCAUAUCAUAGUUUGAGUAGCAAGACUGUGGAGUAGCAAGACUUAAAUACUCUUGAAAUUCCCGGGGUACUUCCAGCAGUCUAAGAAUUUGUAGACACGGACAAGGAUGGCUAGCUGUGCUAGAACUCUGAGGCUUCUGGUCACAGCUGUUUUACAGGGGUUCUCCUCUACACCAGAACUCUGCUUGUGGUACCACUUCUAUCUCCUGUAUAUGAGUGGAUUUGCUAUGCCAAAUCCACAUAGCAGAGUGGAAAUCUGCUAUGCCAGGUAUUACUGGAUCUGCAUGCUAUUGCAGUCCCUUGAUGUUAAUUAUAAGAGGAUGAUGAGCAAUGGCAGCCUAGAAGAGGGUGAAUCAGAGAGGCAAGUACGAUAGGUAUCUGGUGCUUGAUAGGGAGGAGAGAGAGGGAGCCUGGACCAUGAAGAGUUUUAGAAAGGCUAACAUCAAGUGGUAGGUUCAAGAAUGUCAAGUUAUACCUAUAAAAUAAGUGAAGAUAGGUCAAGAGAGGGUGAAAACGUUUCCAGGUUCCAUCUUACUCUGACUCCAAUAUGCACAACUCCAAUUUUACUGCAUUGCUUCCCCUUUUAGAUGAUGGAUUUCUAGAUUUCUAGAGCUCAGGAUAUGGCUGUGUUACAUUUGUUUGGAAUGGUGCACAUAUAUUAUGAAAUGAUGCGUAUAUAUGGGUACCAGUUUAUGUAUCUCUCUUGAUGGAGAUAAAAUCCCUUUCUUUGUGCUAAAGGGCCAAGGUGUAUGACCAACAUCACUUGGUCUCCAAGGCAGUAAUAUAUAUAGAAAAUCUCACAGGCUUUGGAAUCACAGAUGGAGUGCGGAAUGCAGGCAAGGGAUCUAAUACUUAUUUAGGAGUGUGCUAUAGUCAGACAAUGUAAAAUUUAUACUAGGCUUGAGUAAUGUCUAGGAUGUAUUUUUUAUUCUCUAAGGUAACCACUACAUGAAUAGUAAUAGAAUCUAUAAUUAACAAGAUAAUGGGGAAAAUGGAAUUAUAAAAAACCAUUAUGCAUUUCAAAAGAGGGCAAGA